GCUGGGUGCAGUGGCUUUCGCCUGUAAUCCCAGCACUUUGGGAAGCUGAGGUGGGCAGAUCACUUGAGGUCAGGAGUUUGAGAGCAGCCUGGCCAACAUGGUGAAACCAUGUCUCUACUCAAAAUACAAAAAUUAGCUGGGCAUGGUGGCGUGUGCCUGUAAUCCCAGCUACUCAGGAGGCUGAGGCAGGAGAAUCACUUGAACCCAGGAGGCAGAGGUUGCAGUGAGCUGAGAUCAUGCCACUGCACUCCAGCCUGGGCAACAGAGUGAGACUCCAUCUCA
rnacentral:sRNA from 1 species